rnacentral:rRNA from 1 species
CUGAUGCAGCCAUGCCGCGUGUGUGAAGAAGGCCUUCGGGUUGUAAAGCACUUUCAGUCGUGAGGAAGGUAGUGUAGUUAAUAGCUGCAUUAUUUGACGUUAGCGACAGAAGAAGCACCGGCUAACUCCGUGCCAGCAGCCGCGGUAAUACGGAGGGUGCGAGCGUUAAUCGGAAUUACUGGGCGUAAAGCGCAUGCAGGUGGUUUGUUAAGUCAGAUGUGAAAGCCCGGGGCUCAACCUCGGAAUUGCAUUUGAAACUGGCAGACUAGAGUACUGUAGAGGGGGGUAGAAUUUCAGGUGUAGCGGUGAAAUGCGUAGAGAUCUGAAGGAAUACCGGUGGCGAAGGCGGCCCCCUGGACAGAUACUGACACUCAGAUGCGAAAGCGUGGGGAGCAAACAGGAUUAGAUACCCUGGUAGUCCACGCCGUAAACGAUGUCUACUUGGAGGUUGUGGCCUUGAGCCGUGGCUUUCGGAGCUAACGCGUUAAGUAGACCGCCUGGGGAGUACGGUCGCAAGAUUAAAACUCAAAUGAAUUGACGGGGGCCCGCACAAGCGGUGGAGCAUGUGGUUUAAUUCGAUGCAACGCGAAGAACCUUACCUACUCUUGACAUCCAGAGAACUUUCCAGAGAUGGAUUGGUGCCUUCGGGAACUCUGAGACAGGUGCUGCAUGGCUGUCGUCAGCUCGUGUUGUGAAAUGUUGGGUUAAGUCCCGCAACGAGCGCAACCCUUAUCCUUGUUUGCCAGCGAGUAAUGUCGGGAACUCCAGGGAGACUGCCGGUGAUAAACCGGAGGAAGGUGGGGACGACGUCAAGUCAUCAUGGCCCUUACGAGUAGGGCUACACACGUGCUACAAUGGCGCAUACAGAGGGC